UAUAAUUUAAAGUCUGACAUUUGUACAGUAACGAUAUCGACUUGAAAAAGACAACAACUUUUUUAAGUUCAGUUUUGUUGUUGUUUUGUUCAUAAUAUUGUUUGGUUUGCUUUAUUUUAAUAACGAUGGAUAAGAAUACAAUUAAUCCAACCAAAUCGAUUCCGGCAUUUUACAUUGGACAAAGUAUAUUUUUGACAGGCGCGACAGGAUUUUUAGGCAAAGUGUUCAUCGAGAAGAUACUGAGAUCUUGUCCGGAUAUUCGAGAAAUAUUUAUAUUAAUGCGUCCGAAAAAAGGACUGAGCUUUAACGAAAGACUCGAAAAAAUGUUAAACUUACCGUUAUACGAUAAAUUACGAAAAGAGCAACCUUCAAAUUUUAAGAAAUUAAUUCCAGUUUCUGGUGAUACCAGUCAAGAAAAUUUGGGUUUGUCGGCUGUCAAUAGACAAAUGUUGAUUGAAAGAGUCACUAUAAUAAUUCAUAACGCGGCAAGCGUGAAAUUUAACGACAGCUUAAAGUACGCCAUUUUUACUAAUACCAGAUCAACGAGAGAUAUAUGUAUCUUAGCCGAAAGUAUGAAGAAUAUAGUAGCCCUAGUAUGUGUUGGCACAGCAUAUACACAUUUGGAUCAUCCGUUUAUAGAAGAAAAAGUGUAUCCACCUAUAGCCGAUUGGCGGAAAAUGAUCAAAGUGGCCGAAUCAUUGGAUGAGCAUACUUUAAAUGUUUUUACAGCUAAAUUCUUGGAUAAUAUUCCCAACACAUAUAUAUUCUCGAAAAACUUAGCGGAGGGUGUAAUACAGGAAUACUCUUCAUCCUUGCCUUGUGCAAUUGUGAGACCAUCCGUGGUGACAUGGUCGCUGAGGGAUCCAAUCCCAGGAUGGAUAGAUAAUUUUAAUGGUCCAAUGGGACUGAUAACUGCUGGCGGAAAAGGAAUAUUGCGAGUAGCAUAUGCCAAUAAUUAUACACAGCAAAACGACAUACCAGUAGAUACUGUCAUCAACACUAUAAUCCUCGUAAUUUGGAAGCUUGGAUUGACAACUUUCACACCAAAAUCCACAUGUUUUGUCGUAAACUGUACUUUCCCUGAUGAAAAAUGUAUAUCAUUUCGAGAUUUCUGCAACAUAGCAACUAACAUCUCGAAAAAGAUACCAUUCGAAGGUGUUUUGUGGAUGCCUAGUACAUUAUUUACCGAAAGUUUAAAUACGCAUUAUGUAUUGACAAUAUUGUGGCAUAUUAUACCAGCUAUAAUAAUAGAUUCAGUUUUAAAAUGUUCGGGACGUCAACCUAUGAUAUUAAGACUGCAGAGGAAAAUGUAUGUUGCCAACCGUGUUCUGCGACAUUUUUCGUGCAACGAAUGGAAAUUUGAUAACACACAUAGUCAAGAUCUAAUGUCACUAAUUCCAUCUGGUAAUCGAGAAAUGUUCUCGAUCGAUCUUUCUGAUGUAGAUAUAAAAGAGUAUAUUAGGAUUGGAGCAAUAGGUAUCAAAAAAUAUCUUCUCCGCGAAGACAUGAAUCGAUUAGAUGCAGCCAAAGCACAUUGUAAAAGAAUGAAUCUAUUCGUCGCAACAUUUAAAACUAUCAUUGCUAUUGGUAUUCUAUGGAUGAUAUAUAAGUGGAUAUGCUUUUAAAGCAUAUCAUAUAGUGAUAUUGUUGGCGCAGAUUAUUCUUUAAGUAAAACAAAAUUAUAAUUCUUGGUUAUUUGACGCCAAAUGAAAUAAACCGCUUGUGUUAUAAUUCUACUUAUUAUUAUAUCCCAGCAAAUAUUAUAUAAUAUUCAUUAAAUAUUCAUUAUUUGUGCAGUAUCCGAUAAAUUUUAACAUUAAUACGUACAAUUGAAGUGCUGAUUGAACUGAAUAGAAUCUACUUCAAAAAAUGUGUUAUUAUUGACUGCAUAUUUUAUGUUGAAAAAGUACAAAUUAAGCGCGCACGCAAUAAAUUUUUAAUUAAUAAUUGUUUCUAUUUAAAUCGAUCCCCCGCUUAUAUCGUCCAUUUACAUCGAAUUAUUUUUGAUAUUUUGCCAAAAACAUUUGAUACAUAUUUCCUUCGAUAUGUACAAUGCAU